GUGUUCACUUUGACAACACAUAUACUAAAACUGGAACGAUACAGAGAAGAUUAGCAUGGCUCCUAUGCAAGGAUGAUACACAAAUUCGUGAAGCAUUUCAUUAAAAA